GGGGGAAAGCUGAGAGUAUAAAUAGAACAAAUAUUUAUCUCAUGUAUAACUUGCAAGGUAGCAGAAAUCUCUAUCGACAAACGAAAUAAACCGACAUAUUUAUUGCUGUAGAUACUAAAUGAUCAAUAUAAAAGCUCUUCGCGCGAAAAGUACCUCCCAGCAUCAUUAAUUAAGUGUAUGUUCAUAACGGGUCGAUGCUGAGGCUAAUAUUG
rnacentral:lncRNA from 1 species